rnacentral:rRNA from 1 species
UGGGGAAUAUUGGACAAUGGGCGCAAGCCUGAUCCAGCCAUGCCGCGUGAGUGAUGAAGGCCCUAGGGUUGUAAAGCUCUUUCACCGGUGAAGAUAAUGACGGUAACCGGAGAAGAAGCCCCGGCUAACUUCGUGCCAGCAGCCGCGGUAAUACGAAGGGGGCUAGCGUUGUUCGGAUUUACUGGGCGUAAAGCGCACGUAGGCGGACUAUUAAGUCAGGGGUGAAAUCCCGGGGCUCAACCCCGGAACUGCCUUUGAUACUGGUAGUCUUGAGUUCGAGAGAGGUGAGUGGAAUUCCGAGUGUAGAGGUGAAAUUCGUAGAUAUUCGGAGGAACACCAGUGGCGAAGGCGACUUUCUGGUCUGUAACUGACGCUGAUGUGCGAAAGCGUGGGGAUCAAACAGG